rnacentral:rRNA from 1 species
UACGUAGGCAGCAAGCGUUGUUCGGAGUUACUGGGCGUAAAGAGUGCGUAGGCGGUCCUCUAAGUUUGGUGUGAAAUCUCCCGGCUCAACCGGGAGGGUGCGCCGAAAACUGGAGGGCUCGAGUGUGGGAGAGGUAAGCGGAAUUCCUGGUGUAGCGGUGAAAUGCGUAGAUAUCAGGAGGAACACCUGUGGUGUAGACGGCUUACUGGACCAUUACUGACGCUGAGGCACGAAAGCGUGGGUAGCAACAGG